GUGACUGUGGCACAGUGGUUAAGAGCUUGGCUGCUAACCAAAAGGUCAGCAGUUCAAAUCCUUCAGCCACU
rnacentral:tRNA from 1 species